UUAAAAGCGAUGAUAAGGGAAAGUAGAUUAUAGUGGCUUUUUUUAGCGAGUCAGGGAUGGUGCAAGCCUGAUAAAAGUGCUUUAAUUGAAGUUCCCCUUAGAGCUGUAUGCUGAAAAGUAUUUUUACUAAAGUAGGCAAUACCGGAGCUUUCACCGUUAAAAGAAAGGGUGUAUCGGAAUAGAAUUAAUUCCCGUACAUUUAUGAGUGGGCUUUUCAGCCAAUUUGGGUGGUACCGCGUGGAAAAUAUACUCCUCGUCCCUUAA
rnacentral:ncRNA from 1 species